UACAUGAAUUUGUCAUGGGGCAUGUAUCGGAUUUGCUUUGUUUACAACAAAAUCCAUGUGUUUUACUGUCAGGGGAGUAUUCGGCCGAUGAUACCUGGGAAUUUGUAGAGCUGCAAGAACAGAUCACUAAAGGCUAUAUAAAUGUCUGGGCUCUUCAUAAGAAAGAUUUUAAUCAAUUGUGCCUAAAUUUAGGCCUACAAGCACUUCAGCCUUUUGACGCCCCUCGUGCUAGGAGUAGACCAUACAGAGGAUUUGUUUUUUUUUUUUUGUUAAAUUUAUUUAUUUAAAUUCAAGACCAUUUUCAAUUUAUUGUAAUAAAUAUUAUAUAUAUUUUUUAUUAUGUAGUACUAUAAAUUUUGUUUAACAUUCA